AGCGAACGCUGGCGGCAGGCCUAACACAUGCAAGUCGAACGGACCCUUCGGGGUUAGUGGCGGACGGGUGAGUAACACGUGGGAACGUGCCUUUAGGUUCGGAAUAGCUCCUGGAAACGGGUGGUAAUGCCGAAUGUGCCCUUCGGGGGAAAGAUUUAUCGCCUUUAGAGCGGCCCGCGUCUGAUUAGCCAGUUGGUGGUGUAACGGACCACCAAGGCGACGAUCAGUAGCUGGUCUGAGAGGAUGAUCAGCCACAUUGGGACUGAGACACGGCCCAAACUCCUACGGGAGGCAGCAGUGGGGAAUCUUGCGCAAUGGGCGAAAGCCUGACGCAGCCAUGCCGCGUGAAUGAUGAAGGUCUUAGGAUUGUAAAAUUCUUUCACCGGGGACGAUAAUGACGGUACCCGGGGAAGAAGCCCCGGCUAACUUCGUGCCAGCCGCCGCAGUAAAAC
rnacentral:rRNA from 1 species